UGGGGAAUUUUUCGCAAUGGGGGCAACCCUGACGAAGCAAUGCCGCGUGGAUGAUGAAGUAUCUCGGUACGUAAAAUCCUUUCGACGGGGACGAAACCGCAAGGUUGACGGUACCCGUAGAAGAAGCCCCGGCUAACUCCGUGCCAGCAGCCGCGGUAAUACGGGGGGGGCAAGUGUUGUUCGGAAUUACUGGGCGUAAAGGGUGCGUAGGCGGCUCUCUAAGUCGGAUGUGAAAACUCUGGGCUCAACCCAGAGCCUGCAUCUGAAACUGGAGAGCUAGGGUUUUGGAGGGGAAAGCGGAAUUCCAGGUGUAGCGGUGAAAUGCGUAGAUAUCUGGAGGAACACCGGUGGCGAAGGCGGCUUUCUGGACAAAUACCGACGCUGAGGCACGAAAGCUAGGGGAGCAAACAGG
rnacentral:rRNA from 1 species